UUAUGAAAUUAUAAUCCGGCGAGGGGAAAGGCGGAGAGUUGUAGCUGGCCUCUAGGGGCAUGUGCACGCUCUCUUCCGGACCUUUCGCCGUAUGGGCGCGGGGCGACCCGCGUCUUCAUAUACCUCUUCGUGUAGAAAGUCUUUGAAUGUUUUACCAUCAUCGAGUCGCGACUUCUAGGAGCGCGAUUCUUUGAGAAAAAAGUUAUUACAACUUUCAGCAACGGAUCUCUUGGCUCUCGCAUCGAUGAAGAACGCAGCGAAUCGCGAUAUGUAAUGUGAAUUGCAGAUCUACAGUGAAUCAUCGAAUCUUUGAACGCACCUUGCGCUCCUCGGUGUUCCGAGGAGCAUGCCUGUUUGAGUGUCAGUAAAUUCUCAACCCCUCUCGAUUUGCUUCGAGCGGGUGCUUGGAUGUUGGGGGCUGCCGGAGACACUGGAUUCGUCCAGGACUCGGGCUCCUCUUAAAUGAAUCGGCUCGCGGUCGACUUUCGACUUUGCAUGACAAGGCCUUUGGCUCAACCCCU
rnacentral:rRNA from 1 species